UCCAGAUCUCGAGUUUGGUGGCGGGAAAGGCCAUGAGUAAAAGCCGGGCCGAAGCUGCGGCUGGAGCCCCCGGGAUCGUCCUAAGGUACCUGCAGGAACAAAACCGGCCCUACAGCGCCCAGGACGUGUUCGGGAACCUGCAGAAGGAACAUGGACUGGGCAAGGCGGUGAGAACCCCCUUUGUGGGAGUUCCCUCUCCGCUGAACUCCCCUGUUUAGGCUUGGGUCCCGCCUUCCCUGUCACCAACAGGAAUUUCCCCUCCCCUGGCUCGCCCAAAUUGCUUCACUCUCCCCUCCGCCAGGCGGUGGUGAAGGCACUCGAUCAGCUGGCCCAGCAAGGCAAGAUCAAAGAGAAG
rnacentral:lncRNA from 1 species